GAUCCUGGCUCAGAUUGAACGCUGGCGGCAUGCCUUACACAUGCAAGUCGAACGGCAGCACGGGAGCAAUCCUGGUGCGAGUGGCGAACGGGUGAGUAAUAUAUCGGAACGUACCUUUCAGUGGGGAUAACGUAGCGAAAGUUACGCUAAUACCGCAUAUUCUGUGAGCAGGAAAGCAGGGGAUCGCAAGACCUUGCGCUGAUUGAGCGGCCGAUAUCAGAUUAGCUAGUUGGUGAGGUAAAGGCUCACCAAGGCGACGAUCUGUAGCGGGUCUGAGAGGAUGAUCCGCCACACUGGAACUGAGACACGGUCCAGACUCCUACGGGAGGCAGCAGUGGGGAAUUUUGGACAAUGGGCGAAAGCCUGAUCCAGCAAUGCCGCGUGAGUGAUGAAGGCCUUAGGGUUGUAAAGCUCUUUUACCAGGGAUGAUAAUGACAGUACCUGGAGAAUAAGCUCCGGCUAACUCCGUG
rnacentral:rRNA from 1 species